rnacentral:rRNA from 1 species
GUCCUCUUGCUUGUAUAUGAGGUCUGACCUGCCCAGUGAAAAAAGUUUUAACGGCCGCGGUAUUUUGACCGUGCAAAGGUAGCAUAAUCAUUAGUCUUUUAAUAGGAGGCUGGUAUGAAGGGUUUGACGAAUUGUUAGCUGUCUCAUUCAAUUUGAAAUUAAAAUUUAACUUUUCAGUUAAAAGGCUGAAAUUAAUUUGGAAGACGAGAAGACCCUAUAGAGCUUUAUAAACAAAUAUUUUUAUUUAAGUUUUUGCUUAUUAUACUUAUUUAUUGUUUUGUUUAUUUUGUUGGGGUGACAAAAAUAUAUAAUUAACUUUUUUAUUUAUAUAACAUUGAUUUAUGAAUUUUAGAUCCAGUCAUAUUGAUUGUUAGAUUAAGUUACC